GUUUAAAAGUCAUGUCAAAGCAGCCUUGGUUUAUUUUGAAUUUUUGACCUUCUAAAGCAUAUCCUGUUGUCAAAACAUGAAAUUCGUGAUACCUGUGACGUCAUGGGGAAGGUUUGCGCCUUUAUUCAAAUGAACAGAACUAAAAUUGGCUAAAAGUGAUUGUUAUAAAUUCCACUUCUGACGUUAGAAGCCGAGCCGGUACCAGUGGAGGUAGGCUACACGCAGACUACGAUGGAUCCAGUCAGAAGUCGGGGAAUAGUAGAGGGCAAAGACAGGUCAAGAUAGCAUUGUACUCCAGACAGGGGAGGAAGCAAGUGCAAAUCAUAAACAGCAUAAAAAUAUAGACGGACACAACAGCAAGGCCAUACAGAGGGAACGCCGGUUAGGAAUAUAUGAUUAGAUGGUGCAAAAGGAACGUAUUGGUUGUAAAUUGUAUAUGAUGUUCAAUUAAAUGGUGCUAAAGGGACGUAUAGGUUACAAUUACAUGCAUAAUCAGAUGAUGUACCAUCUGCAGGUUAACAUAAG